UUUAUUUUGGUUAUUUUAGUGCUAUUACUAAGUUGUAUCCUUCUGUGAUAAUUUCCAAAUGCCCCUGGUUUUUCUUGAGGACGGAUAUGUAGCACCUAACAGUGCUCCAGAUACAGGAGGCCCUUCAUGCCCUCCCUUCUUCCAUUCUUACUGAUUCAAUAAUUUUUUUAGUUUUCUGAUUUUUAUUUGGGAAAAGAUUUUUCUUCUUUCUAUUGAAAUAUGGAAGUGAGGGGACAAUUAUUGCUCUUCGUAUGAGAGGUAAAAUUGCAUUUCCUUUAGUUCUGUCUAUGCCUUUCUCUUUACUUUUCUUUCAAUCAAA
rnacentral:lncRNA from 1 species